GAUGAACGCUGGCGGCGUGCCUAAUACAUGCAAGUCGAGCGAACGGACGAGAAGCUUGCUUCUCUGAUGUUAGCGGCGGACGGGUGAGUAACACGUGGAUAACCUACCUAUAAGACUGGGAUAACUUCGGGAAACCGGAGCUAAUACCGGAUAAUAUUUUGAACCGCAUGGUUCAAAAGUGAAAGACGGUCUUGCUGUCACUUAUAGAUGGAUCCGCGCUGCAUUAGCUAGUUGGUAAGGUAACGGCUUACCAAGGCAACGAUGCAUAGCCGACCUGAGAGGGUGAUCGGCCACACUGGACCUGAGACCCGUUCCAGACUCCUACGGGCGGCAGCAGUAGGGAAUCUUCCGCAAUGGGCGAAAGCCUGACGGAGCAACGCCGCGUGAGUGAUGAAGGUCUUCGGAUCGUAAAACUCUGUUAUUAGGGAAGAACAUAUGUGUAAGUAACUGUGCACAUCUUGACGGUACCUAAUCAGAAAGCCACGGCUAACUACGU
rnacentral:rRNA from 1 species